AUACUCUGGUUUCUCUUCAUCUCGUAUAAAUCUUUCGCCUUUUACUAAAGAUUUCCGUGGAGAGGAGCGUUUACGAGUUUAAAUAAUUUUUUGAUGCUUUGCGUCAGCAAGGCU
ensembl:snRNA U5 U5 spliceosomal RNA